UCCUCAAUCAUGCACAGACAUCGCGUUCCUUAGGCAAAAGCAGAAAUUCCUCUCGAUCAUGCACCGCCGCAGCGAAACAUCUUCCUUUCCUGCCGUCCUCACACUGAUCAACUAGCCGGCCCGACGCCCUCCCUCUCGGUGCUUGGAGAGAUCGAGCCGAGCAUACCGGCUUCCCCUGAAGGCUUGAGACGGACACAGUUGACUGCUUCUUGGUCAUUGAUUGUCGCCAGCAUCUGCGCCCUUGGCAUCGGUGUGGCCUUGCAAGAUUGGAUCUUUUUGUUUUCAUCCCAAUCAUCGCCAUGGCGGCCUCCUCCCCCUGAACGAUGAACGCAUCUGCUUCGUCAUUGAUGGCUAUCGAAGCUCUCAUUAAGCUUUUUGAUUCAGUUUGUGCCAAAGAUACAAGACGCAGAUUAUUGAUAUCAUAAUUGGUUGUGGCAUUGAGGUACUUAAGUGGAUUUCUCAUUCUACAAUAUAUGUCUACAUGGAAUAGACCAAAAGCCACACAUAUUUAUACAAUGCGGCGGAAUUUAUUUGUGGAUUUACUGGCACACGAAAGAAAUGGAUAUCGGAGAUAUCUUCCGGUCGAUAUUAAACAUUAUCUUAGCCGUAUCACGGAAAGGUCUAUAAUGUAGAGUUUGUGAGCCUACAACGUCGUGCUCUUCGUGACUGUGUUUGAUUUCACAAACAUUGCGAUCCUACAAUGUCAUUUUCAAGUUGUUAUUUAAGUAGGAGAUUCUAAUAUUAUUA